rnacentral:lncRNA from 1 species
GUAUCUUCAGAACUAGUUCAUUUGGGUUCAAAAAGAGCUAUGAACAUUGAUAAUUAUUAUAGAAUAUCCCUCUAAUAAAAGGUAGUCUUGUUAUCUUCAAUAUUAAUAGAAGGAGAUAUUUUUCUUUGGCUCCAUUUAUCUUUCCCGAGCCCAAAAAGAGCUAUAACCAAUUGAUAAUGAUUGUAGAAUAUCCCUCUAAUACAAGGUAGUCAUAUAAUCUUCAAUAUCAAUAGGAGGAGAUAUUUUUCUUUGGCUCCAUUUACAGCCGAGGGUCUACCGGAAACAGCCUCUGGCUUCUUAAAGGUAGAAGUAAGGACUGCGUCCUCUCUACCCUCCCCAGACCCCAGUGGGGCUACACCGGGUGUAAAGAGGAGAGAGGGAACAAGAAACAUUUUGAGAUUGUAAAGUUGUGGGGUUAAGGUGAGAUAAUGGGAUCUCUUUUUUUUUUGGAUGGAAUUUUAGUGUUUAUCCCAACUCUUUAGUAAUUAUAAUCUGGUCUGCUUCUGCCAAACUGGUCUGUGACCAUAGAUGUAAAGGAAGUCCAAGAGUUGAUCCACACUAAUCCUCAUCUAGAUCUGUUUGGCGCAUAUCUGAAAGUUAGAUUCACCGUUUGAGUUUCACUGUUGCUUGCUUCAAUUUCCAUUUCCUUACGAAUAUUCAUUCAGCUUCUCUUCUAUACGGAAACUCGAGACCUGUCAUCUCAAAAACUUGUACCCCUACUUUUAUUUUCCAUUUGUUGGGUAAAUAAGAACAAGUUGGUUUGUCUAAGUUGCCCCCGUCAAAUCUUUCGAUGACAUUUCUGCCUAGGAAAUCAUUGUUAGUUGGUGAUGAGUCUCCUUC